CUCCAGACAGGAGUCCAAAAUGCUCUAAGCAGGAGUUCCGUUAUUGAUUGGCUCCCUCUGAGCCAAUGGAAGUUGACAGAAGAGUCCAACACGCCCCAAAGACGAUGAGUUUGACCGAGAGCACUUCCAUUAUGACUGUACAUGGAUUCACCCUCUCUUAAGUUACCGAAGGAAAGACUGAACGUGCUUCCGAGUCUCUUGCUGCCGCCGCCGCCGCCGCUCCUCCAGCUCCAGUUCCAUAUAGACGAGGAUCCGCGCUCGUAUUCCCGACUCGCUUUCCUCGGACUGCCCGACUGACACUCUCUUUCACCGUUCAAUACCUGAGCUACCAUGAGGCGGACCAGCAUGCUCAGAGCGGGGCCGCUCAUAUCCAGACUGGGCGCAUGAGAGAAAUUCUCCUGCAGUGUGUCUCACCAGUGAAAAUGAAUCCCCAGACUCCUGUGUGGUGAAAAGAAGCGCUGAUCCAGGAAAUACAGCUGAUUGUAAUAUUCCAUCAGCAGCUCCUGCCCCGCUUCAUUCCUGCUGGGAGUACGCAUGGCCUACGAAGAGAGACAACAGAUAAAUGCUGACCGUCUGUGUCCAGAAGCCUAUAGACAGACUUCCUUCCUGGCAGUGUGCUUUUCUCUGGAUCUUCACUCAUCUUCAUUCUGGGACGACCUCUGACCUCUAUCAGCUACAGUGAGGAGGAACCACAGUCUUACAGGAGAGGGCUGACGCGUGCAGGUCACCAGAUGAGUCCCCACACCAACCACAUCAAUCUCAUUAUCCUGACGGACAGACAGACAGACGGGUCGCUUCACCAGGCAGAGCAGGCUGGUCUCCAGCAGCUGAACUACAGCCAGCGGUCCAGAUACUUCCAACAGAGGAACCUAAAAACAUGAAUUACAGACACAGGAACUCAACCUCCUGUAGCAGAAGACCAGAUUACCCUUGACCUCUGAAUCGCUCACAUACUCUGGCGAAGACGACGGAUCCCUCAGGUAACGCUGACACAGACACAGCCGAACAGUCCAGCUCCUUCAGAUAUGUGAAAAAGGCAGCGUCUGUGUUCGCCGGGAGAACGGAGCGCAAAUACUCCACAUCUGAAACACACGAGAUGAUGCUGAGCUGAUGAGCAGACAGAAUGUGAUACAGUAGAACUCAUUUCCAUGGACUUUGCUUGCAUGAAUCAUGUUG